rnacentral:rRNA from 1 species
GACGAACGCUGGCGGCGUGCCUAACACAUGCCAGUCGAACGGAAAGGCCCUGCUUUUGUGGGGUGCUCGAGUGGCGAACGGGUGAGUAACACGUGAGUAACCUGCCCUUGACUUUGGGAUAACUUCAGGAAACUGGGGCUAAUACCGGAUAGGAGCUCCUGCUGCAUGGUGGGGGUUGGAAAGUUUCGGCGGUUGGGGAUGGACUCGCGGCUUAUCAGCUUGUUGGUGGGGUAGUGGCUUACCAAGGCUUUGACGGGUAGCCGGCCUGGGAGGGUGACCGGCCACAUUGGGACGGAGAUGCGGCCCAGACUCCUACGGGAGGCAGCAGUGGGGAAUAUUGCACAAUGGGCGGAAGCCUGAUGCAGCAACGCCGCGUGCGGGAUGACGGCCUUCGGGUUGUAAACCGCUUUCGCCUGUGACGAAGCGUGAGUGACGGUAAUGGGUAAAGAAGCACCGGCUAACUACGUG